AUAAAGAAACAGACUCCAAGUAAAUAAGUAACUUGCUCAACAUCCACAGUGAUUAACUGACAGAGCUACAGCUCAAACGCAGGUGUCCUGAUUCUUGGACUAAAGGACUUUCUGCCAACCCUGAGAGAACAUUCUGGCUGGAAUAGAAGGAAAUGAGACGAGCAGAGAGAGGCCUGGUAGGCUCUGAAGAGAAGCAGUCUCAGGCACUGAGGCAGAAGAGGGCCUCCGCUAGUGAGCACAGACCAACAGGACAGGAUUCCAGCCAAUGCAUCUAUGUGGCCACAAGAAAAGCUUUAAAUAUCUCAACCUUCAGCUCUGCCUCUGGUAAGAGUCAGGAAUAAGAAUGAUGAUCUUGUCUGAACAAUCUGAAACCGAUUCCAGCCUCUACAGAAGGUUUUUGUGGUUUUGCACCCCAGAAGAAUCAGAGACCGAAAGUAGAACCAGAGACUGAAAGAAAAACGUCUAAGGACCAAGUCUUACAGAGCCCUGACUCAACAAAACGGAUGCGGUCUACCCGGCUGACCUGGAGAGCAGUCCCAGACCAGCACAGAAUUUGGAACAAAUGCUUCCCGCGACACGAGGCUGCUUCUUUUCCAAACUGGCCUUGAAAAAAAUACACAGAAAAAUGAGUUAAAAAAUGCUUCAGAAAGUUACUAAAUUAAGCAAACGUAUCUAAACUUAAAUAACUAGUCACUUAGGGGUAAUUUAUUGAUUUGAAAAACAAGGUGACUGAGAAUUUUGAAAUCCUAAUUUACAAAUUAUAUAACUUAAUAACUAUUAAAAGCCACUCAAAUCAUCUAUUUAUUGUAAUCAUUAGCAUCUCUGAAGAUACAGCAAAACAAACGAGAUAUACUCAGUCUUAGAGAUGACAUGGAAUAAACUGGAAUCAGAACCAGGCAACCAAGAGGUGGACCAGAUCUCUGUAGUAUUUAAAUACGCUUGUUUACAACUCCUCCAUGGACACAGAUAUAUUCAUGUCUGUGGAUACACAUACACACGCAAUCUUUUUCUGGACUGAUAAUCACAAAUAAUGGUUGUGUUUAGUUUUCAUUUAAUGUUCAGUUUAAUGCUGCUCAAUUAAACUUUCUAACCACAUACUAGCAACAGUUUCUUUUUAAUAUAACAAGUGUUAUCUGGGUAGUGAGAAUAUAGCCCAUAUAAAUUUUUUUCUAUAUUCUUAUAUUAAAAACCUAAUAAAUCCUAUUUUAAAAUUAAAUAUCAUUACCCAUUCUAUCAUUCCAAAAAUUGG
rnacentral:lncRNA from 1 species